rnacentral:tRNA from 1 species
GCGCCGAUAGUCUAGCCUGGUAGGACAGGGGCUUCCCAAGCCUCUAACCCGGGUUCAAAAGCUGAUGCCUUUCUUUCCGAAAGAAAGGCCUAAGCCUCACCCCAAAGAUUUGAAAAUCCCGGUCGGCGCA